rnacentral:lncRNA from 1 species
CUGCCACCUCAGCCGCGCUAGGUCCCGGCAGACGCCAGCCGCUAGCCUCCAGACGCUGACGGUCCUGCCACGCUCGCCGCCGCCGCCGCCGCCGCCGACGCCGCGGGCACGACAGAGCUAAGACAUCAAGCACACAAAGAAUUUUAUGCCUACAAACAGGUUAUAUUAAAAGAGAAAGUAAAAGAACUGAAUUUACAUGAGGUAAGUAUUUUAACUUCUUCUUGAGCUGUGUUCUAAUAGAACUGAUAUAUAAUGGAAUGCUUAAACACCUUUAUUUUCAGAAGCUGAAAAAAUUAGACUGAUUUUGAUCAGCUUCAUAGAAUAUUUGAGGGUGAGGUCACAUAAAAAUCUUCUUUGUGAAGACUUCUAGGGGAGUAAAAUAACUCGGUUUUAGUAGGAAAGUCCAGCGUAAGUUGUAAUAGCAGAGUUGCUGCUUGCUGUCCAUUCUAUACAAGCAGGAGAUAGAGAUAAAUUAGUUUCACUACUCAAGAUGAAUUUGCACUAAUUUCACUUUUGAAAAUGUUCCCAGUAGUCCUUUCUUACCAAAGGCACAAGAAAGGCAGUGAUUACUUCAUGAGGGUGGGGAUUUAAGGAGGUGAGACAGAGGGAUGAAAUAGGGAAGAACAUAUAGGGAGAGAUAGGAACUUUCGGGAUUGUCUCUUGAUGAGGUUGCAUGUCUGGGGUGUUUACUAUGUUGUCAGGCUUUCUAAGUUAAAAACAAAAGUGUGUGUGUAUGCUGCUGUACACCUUAAGACACAUAGUGUAUAAUAAUUCUUGUUUAUUUUGUUCUUUGUGUUGCCUCUGAUUACAAAUGUUCAGAAUUUUUAUUUUUAAUUUUAGAGGCCUUUCUCUUCCUCCCUUUCUAAGUUUUUAAACUGGUGUUUACCACAAAGACUUGGAAAGCUGCAUGUUGUAAUAUUUACGUUUACUAUAACCCAACUGUGGUGAAGCUACAUUGCCAAUCUCUUCAAAGAGAGUUAAUUUGUGAAAUUAUUUGAAUAAUAAUAAUAAUGAUUUAUAUUAGAAUUCAUCUACUGGUACUUUGCUCUUUCUGCAUACUUUUUAUCUAAGAGUUGAUAUGGUAUGGCAUUUCAGACCUAACCUUGGAUUAAACUCAAGCAUCAGUUACUGUUUGAUUUUU